rnacentral:rRNA from 1 species
GCAUAUCAAUAAGCGGAGGAAAAGAAACCAACAGGGAUUGCCCUAGUAACGGCGAGUGAACAGGCAAGAGCUCAGAUUUGAAAGGCACUUUUGUGCCGUUGUAUUCUGAAGUUAGGGUCCUGAGAAACGAUGCUUAAGUCUUCUGGAAAGGAGCGCCAUGGAGGGUGAUAGCCCCGUCUAGCAUUGACCUCAUAUAGGAUCUUAACAUGGAGUCGAGUUGUUUGGGAAUGCAGCUCAAAUGGGUGGUAUGCUCCAUCUAAAGCUAAAUAUCUGCGAGAGACCGAUAGUAAACAAGUACUGUGAGGGAAAGAUGAAAAGAACUUUGAAAAGAGAGUGAAAAAGUACGUGAAAUUGUUGAAAUGGAAGGGUAGGCCGCUAACCAUGUAGAGCCGUGUUUGGGGGGAAGAUAAAUGCUGUAGAAUGUAGCUCCUCGGAGUAUUAUAGAUGCAGUUCAUAUUCCCACCCGAGCGCGAGGUCUC